CAUGGACUCACAGUUCCCCAUGGCUGGGGAGCCCUCAGGAAACUUACAACCAUCGGAGAAAACGAAGAGGAGAAAGAUCUAACACAAAGGCUGUGAGGAGGAUACAAUGCGAAGAUGGCCAUCUGAAAACCAGGAAGAGGGCCUUUACCAAGAACCCGACCAUGCUGGCACCUUCAUCUCAGACUUCCAGCUACCAGAACUGUGAGAAAUAAAUAUUUGUUGUUCAA